rnacentral:rRNA from 1 species
AACGAACGCUGGCGGCAGGCCUAACACAUGCAAGUCGAGCGAGGACUUCGGUCCUAGCGGCGGACGGGUGAGUAACGCGUGGGAACGUGCCCUUUGCUUCGGAAUAGCCCUGGGAAACUGGGAGUAAUACCGGAUGAGCCCUUUGGGGGAAAGAUUUAUCGGCGAAGGAUCGGCCCGCGUUGGAUUAGGUAGUUGGUGGGGUAAUGGCCUACCAAGCCGACGAUCCAUAGCUGGUUUGAGAGGAUGAUCAGCCACACUGGGACUGAGACACGGCCCAGACUCCUACGGGAGGCAGCAGUGGGGAAUCUUAGACAAGGGGGGAAGACCUGAUCUAGCCAUGCCGCGUGAGCGAUGAAGGCCGUAGGGUUGUAAAGCUCUUUCAGCUGGGAAGAUAAUGACGGUACCAGCAGAAGAAGCCCCGGCUAACUCCGUG